rnacentral:lncRNA from 1 species
AAAAAAAAGAGCAAAAGAAAAAAAAGAAGAGGAAUAAAGGGAAGAAUGUGCUUAAGCCCGCAAGAAUAGGCAAGGAUCAAAAGAAUCUGGGAAGUCUGUUGCCCAGAAUGAAGUUCAGAAUGACCUUAGCCUCGUACCAAAAAUUCUCACCUUAUGCCUUAAGCCACAUUACAACCCAUGAAAGACCUAAUGAGAUACACCUAGGGCUUUGACUAAAGGGGAAGACAAUAGAAGAUAGGCAAGCUUAUGGUCAGAACCCAAUCAAGAUGUCCGGAGUGUAAACACGAGCCUAAAC